AGGCGGGGCCUCAGGUGGUGGGCGGUGCUAGAAGGAGCUUGGUCAUGAGUCCAUGAUUGUGGGAAGGAGCUGGGGUAGCACAAGUGUCACUCAGGGUCACCGUCAGGCCACGCCCAUUCUCUCAGGCCCUGGACCCGGACCCGGCCCUUUCCGACUGGCUGGGGAGCUACAUGAUGAUGACGUGCGGGAGGAGGGACUCUGGUUACAUCGUGGCAUGACCUUCCCCGAUGAAUAAAGAUCUCGGGACCAAUCACCGGAAGUGGGGUAGGCGGGACUUCCAGGUCACAGAAGGAAAGAGAAGAGGCUGGAAAAUGUGACCCGAUUUUGCACAAGGGGAGCUCGGAGGAAGACGUAGCAAACACAAGGCCCCCGAGAUUCACCCCCAGUGGACUUAACUCAGAACGACUCACAAAUUAGGAUGAUGGGUGCGGUGCCCAGUGAUUGUGUGUCCUGUUGAUUCUAAACUGAGACUGUGUGGGGUUCUCCUUCACGAGGCGACUCGGCUGGGGUUCAGAGAGAAAGCCAAAGUGGCAGAGCACGGAUUUGGGAGGAGCGCACCCCAGCUAGUCACGUGACUUUGGAUGCAUGGGGCCGUGUAGCAGCGACCUGCCCUGGUAGCACAGUGAGCAGCGACCUGCCCUGGGAGCAUAGUGAGUAGCGACCUACAAAUGUGGCAUCAGCGGGUAUCUAGAGUGACGUCAUGCUGUGCUACCCCACCUACUCUCUGGUCGCAGUAGUCUCUCAGCCCCCAUUGCUAGCUGCACCCUGCCACUGUCUCUGUGACAGCUGGGAACAUCUGUCUCUCUCAGCAACCCAGUAACAUCAGGACUCUAGAGGUCCCAGCGGUGGCCGGACCUCGUGGCUCUGUGUCCUGCUCUGGUCCCAGAGGCAGCCACCUUAUCAUGGCUCCCUGCUGUGGACUCAGCCCACACUCCCAACACCUGCUCCCUGGUCCCAGCACCUGUCCCCUGGUCACAGGAGUGGAUACCCUCUCCCAGUUCUCUGCUGCUGCUCUGUUUGUGCCCCAGCAUCUGCCCCCUAAUGGUUAUAGCAUCCACCCCCAGGAACCAGUUAAAAUAAAAAAUCCAGAUGCUCGUGAUUUAACAA